AGAUUACAUGCAUGAUCUGUUUCUCUUUCACAUUUCCAGCUCUCCAUGUAAAAAAAAAACUCAAUAAUAAAAGUAAUCUUUGCCUAACGAAGAAAAAAAAAUGUCUGUGUGCCAAAAGAACCCAGUGUGUCCAUAAAGAGUGAUGGAUCAGUUAAAAGACAAAGAUUCUUCUUCUUCUUAUCAUGGUUUUGAUCAGGAAAGAUCAGAUUCACCUGCGCCCAGUGUUUUGUCGUUUAAGAGUGACCGAUCAAUGCAAAUGCCUAUUCAGCUAAGAAAUGAAACACUUCUACCACAACUAUGUUUGAAGGAGAGAUCGGACUCAUCUGCCCCUAGUGUUUUGUCCAUGAAGAGUGACCGGUCAAUGCAAAUGCCAAUUCAAAUGCAAAAUGGAUCAGAGCCGAUGGAAAAAAGGUAAUGGAAAUAACUUCACAUAGUUCACACAGCAGGAAAAUAUGACAAGUUAAAGUUAAUUUCCCAAGUUACUUUCCCUGGUGCUGUUUUAGAACAUUAAGCUAACC
rnacentral:lncRNA from 1 species